rnacentral:rRNA from 1 species
GUGGGGAAUAUUGGACAAUGGGCGCAAGCCUGAUCCAGCCAUGCCGCGUGAGUGAUGAAGGCCUUAGGGUUGUAAAGCUCUUUUGUCCGGGAAGAUAAUGACUGUACCGGAAGAAUAAGCCCCGGCUAACUCCGUGCCAGCAGCCGCGGUAAUACGGAGGGGGCUAGCGUUGUUCGGAAUUACUGGGCGUAAAGCGCACGUAGGCGGAACAGAAAGUCAGAGGUGAGAUCCCAGGGCUCAACCUUGUAACUGCCUUUGAAACUCCUGUUCUUGAGUUCGAGAGAGGUGAGUGGAAGUCCGAGUGUAGAGGUGAAAUUCAUAUAUAUUCGGAAGAACACCAGUGGCGAAGGCGACAUACUGGCUCAUUACUGACGCUGAGGCUCGAAAGCGUGGGGAGCAAACAGGAUUAGAAACCCUAGUAGUCC